rnacentral:rRNA from 1 species
GGGUCGAAGGAUGAGGAAGAGAGGGGGCUUGAGCUGAGCCUCGGCCUGCCUGGCUACUUCUCCGGAUCACCAGGCCAAGAAGGCUUGGAGGAGAAGGGAGGCCGCCGUGGUGCUGCUGGUGCUGGAGCAAAGGGAAGAAGCAACGGCUCCAAGCCAAGCAGGCCGGCGGCCGCCGCUCCGGUCGUGGGGUGGCCUCCGGUGCGCUCCUUCCGGCGCAACCUUGCCUCCUCCUCGUCCAAACCACCAGCCGCCGAGCCACGCCACGGCGCGGGCGGCAAGGCUGAUGGCAGCAUCUACAAGGGCCGGUUCGUGAAGAUCAACAUGGACGGCGUCCCCAUCGGCCGGAAGGUGGACCUUAAGGCGCACGGCAGCUAUGGCAAGCUCGCCGCCGCCGUCGACCACCUCUUCCAGGGCCUCCUCGCCGCUCAAAGGGACGAGAGCUCCUGCGCGGUGGGGGAGAAGCACGCGGCGAUCACGGGGCUGCUGGACGGCAGCGGCGAGUACACUCUGGUUUACGAGGACGACGAGGGCGACCAGAUGCUGGUCGGGGACGUGCCAUGGGACAUGUUCAUCGCCACCGCGAAGAGACUGCGCGUACUGCGGAGCUCGGAUCUGAACGCGUCCUCGCUACGAGCGGCGGUGAGCCGGAAGAGGGGAGCGGCCGGGUGCUGA